rnacentral:piRNA from 1 species
GUCAUGCACGGUGCACAAAUGAGCAGUUUAA